UACGGGGGGGGCAAGCGUUGUUCGGAAUUACUGGGCGUAAAGGGCUCGUAGGCGGCCAACUAAGUCGGAUGUGAAAUCCCCAGGCUUAACCUGGGAACUGCAUCCGAUACUGGAUGGCUUGAAUCCGGGAGAGGGAUGCAGAAUUCCAGGUGUAGCGGUGAAAUGCGUAGAUAUCAAGAGGAACACCUGAGGUGAAGACGGGUUGCUGGGCCGACACUGACGCUGACAGCGCGAAAGCCAGGGGAGCAAACGGG
rnacentral:rRNA from 1 species